rnacentral:rRNA from 1 species
CUCAUAGCGUAUAUUAAAGUUGUUGCGGUUAAAAAGCUCGUAGUUGGAUUUCCGUUCGAGUUCGUACCUCCCCUUGGGGGUUGGUGUCGAGCCUCGAGCCUUUCUGGGUGUAUACGUGCGUACUUCAUUGUAUGACGUAUUCAACCCGGACUUUUACUUUGAGGAAAUUAGAGUGUUUCAGGCAGGCAAACGCCUUGAAUACAUUAGCAUGGAAUAAUAAGAUAAGACUUUGGUCUUGUUUGUUGGUUCAUAGACCGAAGUAAUGAUUAAUAGGGAUAGUUGGGGGCAUUCGUAUUUAACUGUCAGAGGUGAAAUUCUUGGAUUUGUUAAAGACGAACUACUGCGAAAGCAUUUGCCAAGGAUGUUUUCAUUGAUCAAGAACGAAAGUUAGGGGAUCGAAGACGAUCAGAUACCGUCCUAGUCCUAACCAUAAACCAUGCCGACUAGGGAUCGGAGGUCGUUAUCUUACGACUCCUUCGGCACCUUAUGAGAAAUCAAAGUCUUUGGGUUCCGGGGGGAGUAUGGUCGCAAGGCUGAAACUUAAAGGAAUUGACGGAAGGGCACCACCAGGAGUGGAGCCUGCGGCUUAAUUUGACUCAACACGGGGAAACUUACCAGGUCCAGACAUAGCAAGGAUUGACAGAUUGAUAGCUCUUUCUUG